GCCUACGGGACGCAGCAGUGGGGAAUAUUGCACAAUGGGGGAAACCCUGAUGCAGCGACGCCGCGUGAAGGAAGAAGUAUUUCGGUAUGUAAACUUCUAUCAGCAGGGAAGAAAAUGACGGUACCUGAGUAAGAAGCCCCGGCUAACUACGUGCCAGCAGCCGCGGUAAUACGUAGGGGGCAAGCGUUAUCCGGAUUCACUGGGUGUAAAGGGAGCGUAGACGGCCAUGCAAGCCUGGAGUGAAAGCCCGGGGCCCAACCCCGGGACUGCUCUGGGAACUGUGCGGCUGGAG
rnacentral:rRNA from 1 species